rnacentral:sRNA from 1 species
AACAAUAUUGCUGGUGAGCGCAGAAAUGACGCUCGCAAUGUUCUAGUCGCUUUCCUCUUCUGACCACGGAUGUACUGGCAUUGGUGAGAGAGCGGCGUCAGGAAGGUCGGCGCGGUUUCGCUCCGGCCUUUUUUGUU